rnacentral:rRNA from 1 species
UACGGAAGGCAGCAGUGGGGAAUAUUGCACAAUGGGCGCAAGCCUGAUGCAGCCAUGCCGCGUGUAUGAAAAAGGCCUUCGGGUUGUAAAGUACUUUCAGCCGUGAGGAAGGUGUUAAGGUUAAUAACCUUAGCAAUUGACGUUAGCGACAGAAGAAGCACCGGCUAACUCCGUGCCAGCAGCCGCGGUAAUACGGAGGGUGCGAGCGUUAAUCGGAAUUACUGGGCGUAAAGGGCACGCAGGCGGUUAAUUAAGUUGGAUGUGAAAUCCCCGGGCUUAACCUGGGAAUGGCAUUCAAGACUGGUUAGCUAGAGUCUUGUAGAGGGGGUAGAAUUCCAUGUGUAGCGGUGAAAUGCGUAGAGAUGUGGAGGAAUACCGGUGGCGAAGGCGGCCCCUGGACAAAGACUGACGCUCAUGUGCGAAAGCGUGGGGAGCAAAC